GCAAGUUAUAAAACCUAUUUUAGGCUCAGUCUCUUCAACAGAAAGUGGGGUUAAAAACACUCACCUUACAGGGAUUGUCGUGACAAACAUGUUGAAGGACCUGCGCAUAGAUCGGGAUCCAGGUUCUAAUUGUCUCUAAAUUCAGGAUUUGGAUCUGAACCGGAAGAAGCUAAAUAUGGUUGGAGGCACUGGAAGGUAAAAAACACGUGAAAAUCAGGUCCCGAGGAGCUGAAUCCAAACAACACAAGGAACAAUGGUCCUGAAGCUUGAGUUUUGCCUCACUGAGCACCUGCAAGUCCUGAAAUAUGGUGCCCACAAAUGAAAGGGAAAAAAAAAAGAAACCGAUGUCUGGUGUGACAGGAAUGGAACAUCAUACCAGCCUGGGGACAUGGACCUUCCAGAGAUAAGACUUUCAACACAGGGCUUGGAAAAGGAAACAGUGGUGCUCAUCUCUUGCAGAUGUAUUGGAAUCAUCUGGAAUGUGGUUCAUGUUCUGCUCAUGACUUGCUGAGAACCUUUUGGUCAAAAGUCAAGAUAAGUCCACCAAUCUCUAUUAAGAAGGACUGCAACUUUGAGGCACCAUUACCAAUGGGUUUGUAUAUGUCUUAGCUGUGUGGAUGCUGAAAUGGGAAGAAAGGUUAAGGUUUGUUGUUGUGAACAUGCCAUUUUAAUGCCAAGGAUAGUGUAGACAUGCAUUCAUGUCUAGCGGAUUUUCUUACAGCAUGAUUCCUUUGUGACACCUGCAGGCAAGCCAGAAAACAUGGUAAAAUGAAGGUGAUACCUUGAUUGCCAAAGAAAUCAUACCUAGAAUGAAAGAGGAUGGGCGUUCUAUAAGAUUCAGGAUACCUGGAAACAAAAGAGUAUACCUAAGCUUUAAUGAAAAAACUCCCUCUGAUUCAAGUUCUUUCUGACCCAGUGAGAGCCUUCUCCUUCAACCUGUUGCUUCUGCCAGGCUUGCUUGCACUUGACCUCUGACCUCCAGUAACACUGAUGCUGGCUGCCUGUCGCAUCUAUGCCUAUCCUGACUUUUGAACUUGUAUGGAAAUCUGGUUUGGGGGAAGGAAAAUGACUUACAAGGCUACAGUUUAUUAUUUAUCUUUCUGAGUGAAUAUCAUUUAAUCUGAUAUAAAAAUAAAAUUUACU